UUCAUUUUUGUUCCGGAGUUGUGAGGAUUCGUUCGACUUCGCCCGUUUGUCUUCUUCUUGGACUCAUUCUUCUUCCUUGCGGGAUUUCAGGCAAGAUGAUCAUACCCUCAAAAUCACUUCUAUCUUUGCUUGCUAGUUGUUUGUUCUAUCGCUAUGUCGCGCUACCUACCACUUGUUAUAUCAUGCCUCCCAUAUUGUCAUGGCAAGCCUCUAACCCACCUUCCUAGCAAACCGCUGCUUGGCUAUGUUACCGCUUUUGCUCGGCCCCUCUUAUAGCGUUGCUAGUUGCAGGUGAAGUUGAAGUUUGUUCCAUGUUGGAACAUGGAUAUGUUGGGAUAUCAUAAUACAUCUUAUUUUAAUUAAUGCAUCUAUAUACUUGGUAAAGGGUGGAAGGCUCGGCCUUAUGCCUGGUGUUUUGUUCCACUCUUUCCGCCCUAGUUUCCGUCAUACCGGUGUUAUGUUCCUUGAUUUUAUGUUCCUUACGCGGUUGGGUGUUAUGGGAACCCCUUGACACUUCGAUUUGAAUAAAACUCCUCCAGCAAGGCCCAACCAUGGUUUUACAUUUUCCUAACAAACUAUUACACUUCCCUUGGGUCGGCCAACCCGAGGGUCAUCUUUAUUUUAACCCCCUCGGGCCAGUGCUUCUCUAAGUGUUGGUCCGAACUAGAGCGCCUUGCAGCAACACCUCGGGGAAACUUGAGGUUUUAUUUUAGUUGUACGAAUUGCUCAUCCGGUGUUGCCCUGAGAACGAGAUAUGUGCAGCUUCUAUCGGGAUUGUCGGCACAUCGGGCGGCUUUGCUGGUCUUGUUUUACCAUUGUCGAAAUUUCUUGUAAUCGGGAUUCCAAGACUGAUCGGGUCUUCCUGCGAGAAGUAAUAUCCUUCGUUGACCGUGAGAGCUUGUGAUGGGCUAAGUUGGGACACCCCUGCAGGGUUUAAACUUUCGAGAGCCGUGCCUGCGGUUAUGUUGCAGAUGUGAAUUUGUUAAUGUCCGGUUGUAGAGAACUUGACACUUGACUUAAUUAAAAUGCAUCAACCGCGUGUCUAACCUGAUGGUCUUUUUUCAGCGGAGUCCGGGAAGUGAACAUGGUUCUUGUGUUAUGCUUGAACGUAAGUAGUUCAGGAUCACUUCUUGAUAACUUCUAGUUCAUGACUGAUGCGUUGCUUCUCUUCUUGCUCUUAUUUGCAUAUGUAUCCACCAUAUAUUCUUAGUGCUUGCUGCAGCUCCACCUCAUUACCCUAUCCUACCCAUAAGCUUAAAUAGUCUUGAUCUCGCGGGUGUGAGAUUGCUGAAUCCUCGUGACUCACAGAUACUUCCAAACAGUUGCAGGUGACGAUGAUACCAGUGCAGGUGGCGCAACCGAGCUCAAGUGGGAGCUCGAUGAAGAUCUUGAUCGUUGUUAUGUGCCUUUUCUGGAUGAUCAGUAGUGGUGCCCAAUUGGGAUGAUCGGGGAUCUAGCAUUUGGGCUUGUCUUCUUUUAUUUUGGUUCCGUAGUCGAACCUUGAUUGUAUUAUGGAUGGUGUAUGUUUAACUUGUAUUUGUGUGAAGUGGCGAUUGUAAGCCAACUCUUUAUCCCUUUCUUAUUCAGUACUUGGGAUUGUGUGAAGAUUACCCCUCUUGCGACAAACCUACCAUGAGGCUAUGUCUCUAAAUCGUGCCCCGACACGUGGGAGAUAUAGCCUCAUUGUGGGUGUGACAUGCCUGAUUUGAAUACAUUAUGUGGUGAAGAUGGAGCAUAGCCAGACCAUAAGAUUUUGCAGGGAUAACUUUCUUUGGCCAUGGUAUUUUGGAAAGACAUGAUUGCUUUAUUAGUAUGCUUGAAGUAUUAUUGUCUUAAUGUCAAAU
rnacentral:lncRNA from 1 species